rnacentral:rRNA from 1 species
AGCAGCCGCGGUAAUUCCAGCUCCAAUAGCGUAUAUUAAAGUUGUUGCAGUUAAAAAGCUCGUAGUUGAAUUUCGGGAUCAAUACGUCGGUCGUGCUUCGGUACGUACUGGCGUCAUUGAUUUCUCCCUUCUGACGAACCAUGAUGUCAUUAACUUGGUGUCAUGGGAAAUCAGGACUGUUACUUUGAAAAAAUUAGAGUGUUUAAAGCAGGCUCACGCUUGAAUACAUUAGCAUGGAAUAAUGAAAUAGGACGUUCGAUCCUAUUUUGUUGGUUUCUAGGAUUGACGUAAUGAUUAAUAGGGAUAGUUGGGGGCAUUAGUAUUCAAUUGUCAGAGGUGAAAUUCUUGGAUUUAUUGAAGACUAACUACUGCGAAAGCAUUUGCCAAGGAUGUUUUCAUUAAUCAAGAACGAAAGUUAGGGGAUCGAAGACGAUCAGAUACCGUCGUAGU